AACUCAAUAAUAAAAACAGUCUUCCCUUUCCCAAAAAUUUCAUAUCCUCUUCUAAAUACUUAACACUUUUUCCCCUUACAAAAAAAUCUUUCUUCCAAUAUCUUGUAUUUUUAUUAUAAAAUUAUUUUUAUAUAUUCAAAUGCAUUAAAUUUUUAUUAUUUGGCAAAAAAAACCACAAUAACCCAUUGAUAUGUAUAAACCCAUUAUAUAAUUCCAAACCCUACCUUUAUAUUCACUUGGGACCCUUCAACCAUUUUGCAACAAGCCGUAGAUGUUUCCACUGUUAAUACCAACUCAACUUGAAUCAAUGGAUAGAAAAGCUAUAAUGAGUUUGUUUUAAAUACAGCUUCAUUCUAACCGUUGAAGAUGAAGUUUGUUCAUUCAGCAACAUCUCUACCAUGCAAUUUGAUUGAUCUUUUGUCAGAGAUAUUUUUUUCCAGUAUCAACAACCGUGAUUUCCUUGAUUAAAUAAAGCUUUCGAAUAGAACCUAUAAAUAAUGCUCAAGAAGGAAUGCAACUUUUGUUGACUGGUGUGAAUUUUAUCAUCAUAUUUAUUGAUUUUGAUUUUCCCAUAAUAAGUACAUGUCAGUUUGUGAUGGAUAUGCGUGCAUUGGGGAUACAAAGAGAAAUAGUGGGAGUUAAUGGCAACACUCAUAAACCUUUCACUCGAAGAAAUUUUGAGCAUAUCAUUGAAAUCCUUUGCUUCAUAUGAAUCUAAUGUUCGUCAUUGUUAUGAUGUGUUAUGCUUAUAAUUUGUAGGAGAGACAUUGACUCUUUAAGUUAAAAUAUUAAAUAAAUUAUGAAAUGUAUAGGAUAAAAAAUAAAAGUAGUUUAUCUACAUUAUUUUGGAAAUUAAUAACUACCGGAACAAUGUGAUGAAGGAAGCAACCCCAUCAUCAAUGACUGGACGGGAUAAUGUUAUUAAAUGAUAGAAUCUAGUCCAUCGUCAAUUCCUAAACCAUUACCAAACACAAUGAUUGGACCAGCAUUGCGGCAACAAGACAUAAUACUUUCUAAUCCACCUCCAAGUGGAAUUAUCGCAAUACCACAUAAUGAUAUGGAUUCAUCUAAUCCUACUCUAAGUAGACAAGGCCAAUGGAUGAGAUUGGAUUCACCUGAUCCUCCUCUAAAUUGCAUUUUCAUAAUGAAAUUAUCAAAGUUGCAUUGUAACAAAUUUAAAUUACAUUAUCGAAGGUGUAUUAUCACAAUACCAUCUUACAAGUGACUUCAUAUGUAUUAAGGAAGGAUUAAUACAAAUAAUUUGCUUAAAUAUGUCA